CAUGCAAGUGGAGCGACGAACCAGGCUUCGGCCUGGGGCAGAGCCGCGAACGGGUGAGUAACACGUGGGUAACGUGCCCCGAUGACCGGGACAACCCGGGGAAACCCGGGCUAAUACCGGAUGUGCAGCUCCCACAUCAGUGGGUUCUGGAAAGGAAGCUUCAGCCUCCGCAUCGGGAUCGGCCCGCGGCCCAUUAGCUUGUUGGUGAGGUAACGGCUCACCAAGGCUGCGAUGGGUAGCUGGUCUGAGAGGACGAUCAGCCACACUGGGACUGAGACACGGCCCAGACUCCUACGGGAGGCAGCAGUGGGGAAUCUUGCGCAAUGCGCGAAAGCGUGACGCAGCAACGCCGCGUGGGGGAAGAAGGCCUUCGGGUUGUAAACCCCUUUCAGGAGGGACGAAGCCUCGGCGGUUAAUAGCCGACCGGGGUGACGGUACCUCCAGAAGAAGCCCCGGCUAACUACGUGCCAGCAGCCGCGGUAAUACGUAGGGGGCAAGCGUUGUCCGGAAUCAUUGGGCGUAAAGAGCGUGUAGGCGGUCCGGUAAGUCGGCUGUGAAAGUCCAGGGCUCAACCCUGGGAUGCCGGUCGAUACUGCCGGACUAGAGUUCGGAAGAGGCGAGUGGAAUUCCCGGUGUAGCGGUGAAAUGCGCAGAUAUCGGGAGGAACACCUAUGGCGAANGCAGCUCGCUGGGACGUUACUGACGCUGA
rnacentral:rRNA from 1 species